AUGUUUGUAUGUAAGUGUAUGUGUAUUUGCAUGUCUCUGUGUGACUGUGUAUCUCUGACUGUGUCUGUAUUUAAGCGUGUGUGUGUGUGUUUGAGUGACAGUGUGUGUCUGAGUUGGGGGUGUGUGGAUAGAUGUGUGCCUGUGCAUAUGCAUUUGUGUGCAUCUCUCGACUGGCACGCGUGUCUUUGGAGACGUGUCUGUGUGUGCGAAUGCCUCUUUGGGUGUGUGUGGGGUGAGCUGCCCCCCUCCCCCUCCGCAGGUGUUUCUGUGGAGCUAAUCGAACUUGUCCUUCAGAACCAGGGAAACGACAGCGUCGGGGCCUUUAGCCUUAUCUCCCAGCCUGCCGUUCUGUCAGAGGAAAUUAGAUUUGCUUGGCACAACCUGCUCCUUGUGAGGUCAUUUUGGCUGCGGUCUGCACGUUCUGCUCUCCUAGAACUCAGAGGCUGUUCUAAUUGCAGAAAGGAGCUGAGAACGAGGUGGCCUCCAUCCCAGAGUGGUCUAGACCAACAGCUGGGGGCCAGCUUCCCCACAUCUCCAGCCACAUCCCUUCUACAGGAUUCCCUCACUCCAGCAAGGCUUCACCUCCUGCCCGUUGCCUUGGAACAUGCUGUUCCCUCCCUGGGAAUAGCCCUUACCACCACCCUACCCCCAGAUUGUCUGGGCUGGGCUCCAGGUGCCUCUGUUCAGGCUAAGACAGAUGUCCCUGCCCCAUGUCCGCAGCCUACCCUGGAUUCACCACACCAUGUGUGAUGCCCAGGGCAUUUCAAUGGUCUGCUCUGUGUCUGGCUCUCUCCCAGCCAGUGCCCUCCAGGAGGGCAGGGACAGGGAACGACAAGGCCCUCAGUGGAUGUUUGCAGAGUGAACCCAUGGAGAUCAGCUGUUUUCUCUGAUUUUCUGUCCCUGCCCCCUUAGAUGCAAUGCCUUCAGAUAUCAAUCUAUUCAUCCAGACUCGCUUCUGACAACCAUUUUGCUCAAAAACAGAGAUCUUGGAGAGACUUACCCUGUCAAUUUGGUUUGGUUUAGAAGCAGGUGUAUGUCUGCUGGACUGCUGGUCUUUAAUAAGAGUGCCACGCAGGCCAGAGGACAAAAGUUUCCCAAGCGCCUGGCCAGCUUUCUCCAGUGUUUUAGGGCUAGCUUGGGGGUUUGUCAUAAGGACCGUGGUCAUCCAUGUAGACCUGUGACGUCAGCUUUGGAGAGUGGUUGGGGACCUAGGUUCUGGAGGUGGACUACUCAGUUUCCAGCCUCAGAGACACUGAACCUCUUUGUACCUCGGUUUCCUCAUCUGUACAUUAUCUGCCUGACUGAGGUCUGGUCAACAUUAAAGGAGCUCAUCCAAGUAAAGCCCUUGACCCAGCGUCUGGUGUAAAGUGAGUGCUCAGUGGAGGUGAGCUAGCGUCUCUUAGCACUGCACCUGUAACUGAUGGAAACGCCAGCCCAGGCCUCCGCUGUGACUGUAACAGAGGCCGCAUAGCUGCAGUGAGACAGCGACAUCCCUUCUGCCAGAGCUGAGCUCCGGGAAUUAGACGUUGGAGUUACUCCUUAAUUCAGAUGAGUUUUUGUGAACAGGAAGACAUCAUUCAAGAAGAGAUAUGAGACCUGUCUGUACCUGAUGCGGUGUGAGCCUUUCUCUUCCUCAAUGGGUGCCUGGUUAUGUGAGUUGGUUGCCUUGGUGGUUGGGUCACCUGAUGGCAUACAGCAGCGGUCAGCAAACAACAGUUCUCAGGCCAAAUCAGGCUAAAUAAAGCUUUACUGAAACACA
ensembl:lncRNA